rnacentral:rRNA from 1 species
CCCUAGUAACGGCGAGUGAAGCGGGAACAGCUCAAAUUUGAAAUCUGGCCCUUGGGUCCGAGUUGUAAUUUGCAGAGGAUGCUUUUGGUGCGGUGCCUUCCGAGUUCCCUGGAACGGGACGCCUUAGAGGGUGAGAGCCCCGUACGGUUGGACACCAAGCCUAUGUAAAGCUCCUUCGACGAGUCGAGUAGUUUGGGAAUGCUGCUCAAAAUGGGAGGUAUAUUUCUUCUAAAGCUAAAUAUUGGCCAGAGACCGAUAGCGCACAAGUAGAGUGAUCGAAAGAUGAAAAGCACUUUGAAAAGAGGGUUAAAUAGCACGUGAAAUUGUUGAAAGGGAAGGAUUUAUGACCAGACUUUUUCUAGGGGGAUCAUCCGGUGUUCUCACCGGUGCACUUCCCCUAGUUGAGGCCAGCAUCGGUUUCUGUCGGGGGAUAAAAGCUUCAGGAAUGUGGCUCCCUCCGGGGAGUGUUAUAGCCUGUUGCAUAAUACCCUGACGGGGACCGAGGUUCGCGCAUUGCAAGGAUGCUGGCGUAAUGGUUAUUAAUCACCCGUCUUGAAACACGGACCAAGGAGUCGAACAUUUGUGCGAGUGUUUGGGUGUUAAACCCUCACGCGUAAUGAAAGUGAACGGAGGUGAGAGCCUUUCGGGGUGCAUCAUCGACCGAUCCUGAUGUCUUCGGAUGGAUUUGAGUAAGAGCAUUAAUGUUCGGACCCGAAAGAUGGUGAACUAUGCGUGGAUAGGGUGAAGCCAGAGGAAACUCUGGUGGAGGCUCGCAGCGGUUCUGACGUGCAAAUCGAUCGUCAAAUCUGCGCAUGGGGGCGAAAGACUAAUCGAACCAU